rnacentral:lncRNA from 1 species
AUCAGAUACUGAUGAUGCUGGAGGGUCUUGAAAUCUUUACAGUAAAACCUGCAACUUGAAAACUAGCCUUCUGUAACCACAGUGCCCAAACGAAGAGGAAUGUAUGGAGAACUCCACGUGGAUCUCUGAUUGCGAAACCGUCACAUACACCAAGAGAGCCACAUGGGCAUGUGGCCCUCAAGGCUGGGUGAGAGGGCUCCCCUGUGUGUUGAACUAUGCAGGAGGGUGACGCGGACACAUUUCAGGUGGACUUUGCAAGGACUGAUGGAUAGCUACCUCAGGGACCAGAAUCCGUGGGAAGGGAUGGACCUGGUGUUCCCGUUCCCAUCUGACAGGCUCUCUUUUGUCAAGGUGGUAUUUUUCGUAAUAAAAGGGGAAGAGUAAAGACUGUCCAAGCAACAGUAGCUGCCAAAGAGAAAAUACGAAAUAGACACUUUUUUUUUUUGAGUCAGAGUCUCACUCUGUCACCCAGGACAGAGUGCAGUGGUACGAUCUCAAGCUCACUGCAGCCACCACCGCCUGGGCUCAAGUGAUUCUCCUGCCUCAGCCUCCCGAGUAGCUGGGAUUACAGGCGUCCACCACCAUGCCCAGCUAAUUUUUUUAUUUUUAGUAGAGUUGGAGUUUCACCAUGUUGGCCAGGAUGGUCUCGAACUCUUGACCUCAGGUGAUCCACCCGCCUUGGCCUCCCAAAGUGCUAGGAUUACAGGCAUGAGCCACUGCGCCCAGCAAAAUAAACACAUUUUAUAAUUUGUAUGUGGAAACAUGUUACUAUAGAAAGCAUUUUAAAGGUACGUUUUAAAGGUCCACUGUUAAAUAGUAAAGAAUGAAUCCGCUAGCGAAAAUGUUUUUAGGGAGAACAGCUGGAUCAAAAGGGCUUCUUUGGAAUUAGGUUGUUUUAGUAACUUCUGUUCCAAAGAAACACAGGUCUGAUAUUGCUAAGAACUGAAAUCGGAGGAGCCAGAGGCCCUUUUCAGUCCAGGCCAACAUUGUGCACGGCCACUGUGGGACUGACAACCGGGAUAGCUCAAGUUCGAGAGACCAGGUUUCAAACAUUAUAAGUUCCAGGCUUUGCAAGUCUUUAUUCUCUGGGGUAAUAUCCAGUCUUUCUGUUAUUGUCUCUUAAAAUUCUCUUCCAUGGCCCACAUUAAGGGAGUUUGCAGAGAGUGAGGGAGGCAAAACUUGAAAAGGGCCUGCAACACUUUAAACCUUCUCAGGUUCACCCACAUGAAACGGCUGUGCUGAGUGUGCUGCCGGUGCCCGGGGAGCUUCUCUGACUGUGACCCGGCAGAGGCUUCUGUGGCGGUGCAUGAGCGGCCCUACAGUGGAGGGUUCUCUUUGGAAACAAACAGCCCUGCUUGGUUUCAGUUUGAGGCCACUUAUCUUCAAUGUGACAUUUCUUGCCAAGCCCUGUGACACUCCCCAUUGAUGACUCCCAUAGGUACAGAUAAAGUUAAGAACAGGAAACAGAAGGGUAGGAUGCAUAGGGAGGGAGAGAAGCCCUGAAAACUUUUUUUUUCUUUUUGAAGCAUGGAAAACAAAUCUUUUAUGCCACUCCAGCCAUAAAUAAAAUUUUAACUUC